CAGUCUCUCUCUCUCUCUCUCGCUGUCUCUCUCUCUCUCUCGCUGUCUCUCUCUCUCUCUCUCUGCAUCUCUCUCUCUCUCUCUCGCUGUCUCUCUCUCUCUCUCUCGCUGUCUCUCUCUCUCUCUCUCGCUGUCUCUCUCUCUCUCUCUCGGUCUCUCUCUCUCUCUCUCGCGGUCUCUCUCUCUCGCGGUCUCUCUUUCUCUCUCUCUCUCGGUCUCUCUCUCUCUCUCGCAGUCUUUCUCUCUCUCUCGCAGUCUCUCUCUCUCUCUCGCAGUCUCUCUCUCUCGCAGUCUCUCUCUCUCUCUCUUGCAGUCUCUCUCUCUCUCUCUCGCAGUCUCUCUCCCUCUCUCUUGCAGUCUCUCUCUCUCGCAGUCUUGCUCUCUCUCUCUUGCAGUCUCUCUCUCUCUUGCAGUCUCUCUCGCGGUCUCUCUAUCUCUCUCUCGCAGUCUCUCUCUCUCUCUCUCUCAGUCUCUCUCUCUCUCUCUCUCUCUCUCGCUGUCUCUCUCUCUCUCUCUCACUGUCUCUCUCUCUCUCUCGCUGUCUCUCU
ensembl:lncRNA